ACAACGGUCCUUUUCAGGACUACACACCCCCAAGAAAGAUUACCA
rfam:Strongylocentrotus purpuratus Contig22052_fixed, whole genome shotgun sequence.